UCUGCCUCUCUCUCUCUCUCUCUCUCUCUCUGGGUCUCUCAUGAAUAAAUAAAUAAAAUCUUUAAAAAAGAAUUAGGCUAUAUUAUACUAACUCUGUAAAUAAACUAUUUACUAAAAUCUAUGCUUGAAAAUACCCAAACUAAAGGGGGACAUUCUUGGUGCUCCAAUACUUCUCCAUUGUUUGCUUCAGCUAAAUGCAAUUCUAUUUGAUAAGCAGCUGACAGUGCUGACAGUGGUUACUCUGUCUAAGGAAACAUUGAGAUUUCAAAGGAGUCAAGUAAUAAAAAUCAUUUUCCUUUUUCAAUGUGACUGAGUCUAGGUCUGCUUUGGUUCUCACUGCCUCUAGGUCAUUGGCUUCUUUCCACUCCCCUCACUCUUUCCUGCUUCUCUUAUAAAACCGUGAACUUCUUGGGACAGCAACAUCUACAUCAGGUAGAUGUCAGGUGUCACUCACCUACCUCCGUGCACAGUGAACAACUGGUCUACCACUUCCUUGCCUAAGCAUUGACCUCUCGUCUCAGAAUUUGAAUUCAGAAACUCAAGGUUAUAGGUGCUAUUGAUGAGUGUUCGCUUGGGAAGUAUCUGGAUAUCAGGACCCAGAUUGCCAUGCCAAGUUCUUCUGCUCCAUCAAGCCCUAACUAGGACCCAGUCUCUUGAAUUGGAGGCCAGAGAAGAGACUGAUGCCAGUAUUCUGGUUUUCAGGCUGGAAGUCCAAGCCCAGGGUGUUGGCUGAUUUGGGUCUCUGAUGAGGAUUCUCUUCACGGCUUAUGGCAAUUAUCUCCUCACUAUGUCCUCACAUGGCAGAGAGAAGAAGCAAGCUUUCUGAUGAGGCAAAUGAUGCACAGAUAGGCUAAGGGGCAGCCACGCAGAAGAAGGGAUCUGGAUUGGGCCUCUCAGAUGCUAAGGCUUGGCCAUAACCACACACCCAACUUGUUCCGAGUUGGAAUCCACAUGCUGAUUCUCUAGUAUGGACCUUUGGAACCUGUCAAAGUUAUGCCCUUGGCUCAUAUAUUAAAACAUGUUGUGACUAUAACUGUUGAUCUGAAGUUUUUAGUCCUCUGUAAUUUAUGAAUAUCUAUAGACUUAACAAACACUGAUAAGAUGACUGUAACAGUACAAGUUAUUAUACAUGUAGAGGAAAAG